rnacentral:rRNA from 1 species
GCUGGAAUGAAUGGUUUGACGAAGGUUAGUCUGUCUCUAUCUUAUUUUUUAGAAUUUAAUUUUUAUAGUGAAAAAGCUUGGAUUUUUUUAAAGGGACGAGAAGACCCUAUUGA